rnacentral:rRNA from 1 species
CUCCCACUUCGACAGCUCCUCCCCGAGGGGUUGGGCCACGGCUUCGGGUGUUACCGACUUUCGUGACGUGACGGGCGGUGUGUACAAGGCCCGGGAACGUAUUCACCGCAGCAAUGCUGAUCUGCGAUUACUAGCGACUCCGACUUCAUGGGGUCGAGUUGCAGACCCCAAUCCGAACUGAGACCGGCUUUUUGAGAUUCGCUCCACCUCACGGUAUCGCAGCUCAUUGUACCGGCCAUUGUANCACGUGUGCAGCCCAAGACAUAAGGGGCAUGAUGACUUGACGUCGUCCCCACCUUCCUCCGAGUUGACCCCGGCGGUCUCCCGUGAGUCCCCANCACCACAAGGGCCUGCUGGCAACACGGGACAAGGGUUGCGCUCGUUGCGGGACUUAACCCAACAUCUCACGACACGAGCUGACGACAGCCAUGCACCACCUGUACNCCGACCACAA